rnacentral:lncRNA from 1 species
UGAUGUUUCCAGAUGGCCCCGGAAAGGGGUAGAAGAGGAUAUACGCAUCUUCCUCCCGUCCUCUCUCUCUCUCUCUCCCGGGGCGACGGCUUCCACGGUCCGCGACGGCGGACACGCUGAACCCCACCCGUUUGCCCACGGCCAAGCAGGUACCAUUCUUUCUGUUCGCCGGUUGUCCAAUAGUCUCUUCUCUCUCUGUGAGUUCCAUAGAACGCGGCCAGAAACCUCUUGCUCUCAGUUUCCGUCGAUGUGCAAGCCGCCAGGCACCACUAGCUUUAUCCCCCUGUUCCCUCAAAUCCCUCUUCUCGCUGAGCUGGACACCGCCAGGAGCCACAUCCCACCUCAACGUCGGGCCAACGCCAGGAGGCAGCAGCGCCGCCCUUCCUCUCCUGGCACGGCGGCAACAUCUCGCAGGCAGCGCCCCACCCUGCCACCUGGCACACGGCCUGCAGGCUGCAGCAUCGCAAAGCCACUGUUCCAGUCGAGCGUCGCGUGCAACCAUGCAUUUUUUUAAUUCCCUUUGGUUUACACCCAUAACCAAUGUUUUUAAGUCCCUCUCUACUACUGCUGAAAGCCUGUUUGCUCAAGUAAGUUUGUCCUUCGCGCCUAAGGUGUUUUAACUGUGCGAUAUGCGUUCAGGAAUUCAAAACACUCGGUUAGCCAAAAAGUACUACAACUUGGCUGCUUGCCACUUUCACUAUAAAGAAAAGGUAUAUUCUCCCACUCCGUCUCUGGUGUGAUUAGCUUUUCGGGGUUGGGAUGUGUGAGUAUGUGGACUUUGAUAUCCGUAUCUACAUGAUCAAUUAUUGGUAAAAAGGUAUCUCAACCUUAAAUGUAUCUAUUAUACAUAGAAGAACUAUCAACUAAGUUCAUGUUUUACCUUAUAAUUAUACAGUUGAAACUUCGCAUGUUGUCCCUACGUACAUAAUUCUAUGGAUGCACAUUCUUUUUUUUCCCAAAAAAAAAUCUCACUUGAAAGAACGAAUAUAGGGAAUCCGAUCUACAUCUUCUUAAUUGUACACGAUUUGCUGGUCGUCUGUUAACACACUAUAUUUUUCCCUUCGCAUAUUUAUUUACAUAGUUUACCGGUCGUUUAUUAGCCCAAUUUCUAAUUGAUUCUACAGGUCAGCCCUCCGUGUGGAGCGAAAACAUCUCUAAUUCCCAGGGAUUUUAACUCCGAGCACAUCAGGUACGUUUGUUCAAUACAUCUAAUCUCCCAAAUCCAUCAGCUGCUUUGCCACCUAGAACGCAGUAAUGAAUAAAUAUCAUCACAUCAACAAACAAUGUAUCGCACAACUUUAGGUCUUGGCUUAUCCCCCAUUGAUAUAUAACUAAAUUAGACGCAGAGAAUCUACUUAAUAAGAUACGUAACAUAUUAAAUGCGUUUAAAUAUUAUGACUGCUUCACUAACAUAUUGUUCGAGCAUUUCUUUUACAUAACACUUUCUAAAACAUAAGAUAGAUAAGUAGUUGAAAUCACAUACACAAACUGCACUGCUCAACAGAUUCUACUCCUUUCUUUUUUAAAACAAAAGUUGUAUGUAAUAUAAAAGUUCUUAUAAGCAUCUGAGUAUAGCUCAGAACCAAACCAAACAAUUCAAUAAAUAGUUACAUAUACACACCAAUAGUUCUGUAUCAAAUCAUAGAAACGGAUUUCAAAUGUGAUGCACAAACCAACCUGACAGCAAACCGUUUUAAAAGUGGGGGAUGUUGCAUAUUCUCUUUCGCCUGGGAGCAAUAUACUCAGAAUAGCUACAAGAAAAAAAAUAUCUGUUAUCCUACGUACCCGAAAGGUACACAAAUCAUGAAAGCAUGAACAAAAAUAAGAUCUUCCACUCCCCAUUCAUCAGCACUCAACCUGAUAUCCCCCACCACACACACGAUCUUUUUACUUUCUUAUAUAAAUCGUGUGAUGUAUUCAUAUCCAUUCUGUGCUAUGUUCAAUGCUUAACAAGAAACAUUCUUACAUGUAGUUAAGAGAUCGCACUGUUGUUGUGCUUAUUAUUAUUUAAGCAGACAUUUUGUUCUUCUGAUGAUGUUAUUAUUUUUUUUUUUGCACGUCUCUUUGUUCCUUACUAAGGAUUCAAGUUUCUGUUAAUGUGCAUAUGUCAUAUUCUUUUUAUGUACAACUUUUCCAUAGCAUCUAACCAUCUAAAUAACCCCCGUGCUUAAAUACCAAAUUCCUAAAACGAGUUGUCUAGCUAAUCAGUCCAUUAGUAAAGUAAAUAAAACAACUCACUUUUUUAUAAUUCAUGAACAGGAUCAAGCAAGGACCCGUGCGCAUCCAAAAAGAAACUCCUAAGAAACCCUCCCAAGACUGAAUGCUACCUUCUACCAUCAGCAGCCUUUGAAGUUCUAAAGUGUUUAUUUUAUAUGUUAGUAUGCAUGUUCAACCUUUUGAAGACAAUUUGUGUAAACAUAACAACUUUGUUUUAGAUGUUGAAACAGGCAAAAAUAACCACCGUCAUAAAUUACCUAACUCUGUUUAAUAACUACUGUUCAACCUUCUGUGAUAUACAUGACCAACUUUCUUAAUUGUCACUUAUAUUUCAGAAUGUGUAUCUACAUUUUACAAAUGAUAUAACAUUAUUAUCACUUACAUUACAUUUUUCUACAACGCGCGCGGGGCGCGCACCCGUUACUAGUGUAUCUAAAUUGAACAGAUCUACUUAACUAUGGAUUUAGAGUAUCAAGAAUAACAUAGCGUGUUUGUUGAUAUAGCUGGCCAUUCUCAUAAAUCGCAGAUCGAGACCCUAAAUAUUUCCGUCGAAGAUAUAUUUUUAUUCUCUUUCCGAAGGAUCCAACCACGAAAAGAGAUAUAAGAAAUAAUAGUAAGACAUCCCCUCUCCAAUUGUUUAUUAUAAUAAAUUAUUUCUUUGUUGUAUAGAAAAAAAUAAAAAAUAUAGUGUGUUGAAGAUAUGAUUGGUAUUAUUCGUGUGUCUUGAGUUUCCUAGCGACCAAAGCCCACCAAAUCCGUAGCCUGCCCGUGUCCGGUGUGCGGUGCGCAGUGCUGGCGAUCCAAUCCAACGAGCCCUGUUCCUCCGCCGCGGUUCGGUAAGCGGUAAGCCACGUCCGCGUUCUAUGAACCACCAGAAGAACAGGCGGACCCUCGAAGCUGAUCGCGGUUCGCUUCUGUUCUCUUCCGCGAAAGGCGAACCCGUCCGUCUCGCGUGCUGACCCCAUCCCGUUCGCGUUCUCGGACUUCUAGAACCGCCACCGCCGCUACCCGCCUCAUUCUUCUGGCUUGGCUUGGCCUGGCCUCGGAACGGCUCACCAGCCCCACUGCCCCAGCACGGCGCGCCACACCCUCGGAACGGCUCACCUCACCGGUGCGCC